UCGGACGUGGUGCGCGGUGCACACUUGCUUAUUGUGGUCCGCUCUUGUUGGCAUGCAGAAACUAAAGCAGGAACUCUGAGUUCGACCCUCGGCGUCCGAG